rnacentral:rRNA from 1 species
UACGAAGGGGGGCUAGCGUUGCUCGGAAUCACUGGGCGUAAAGGGUCCGUAGGCGGUUUAAUAAGUCAGUGGUGAAAGCCCAUCGCUCAACGGUGGAACGGCCAUUGAUACUGUUAAACUUGAAUUAUUAGGAAGUAACUAGAAUAUGUAGUGUAGCGGUGAAAUGCUUAGAGAUUACAUGGAAUACCAAUUGCGAAGGCAGGUUACUACUAAUGGAUUGACGCUGAUGGACGAAAGCGUGGGUAGCGAACAGG